AGUCGAGGGGAAACGACAUCGAAAGCUUGCUUUUGAUGGGCGUCGACCGGCGCACGGGUGAGUAACGCGUAUCCAACCUGCCCACCACUUGGGGAUAACCUUGCGAAAGUAAGACUAAUACCCAAUGACGUCUCUAGAAGACAUCUGAAAGAGAUUAAAGAUUUAUCGGUGAUGGAUGGGGAUGCGUCUGAUUAGCUUGUUGGCGGGGUAACGGCCCACCAAGGCGACGAUCAGUAGGGGUUCUGAGAGGAAGGUCCCCCACAUUGGAACUGAGACACGGUCCAAACUCCUACGGGAGGCAGCAGUGAGGAAUAUUGGUCAAUGGGCGAGAGCCUGAACCAGCCAAGUAGCGUGCAGGACGACGGCCCUAUGGGUUGUAAACUGCUUUUAUAAGGGAAUAAAGUGAGCCUCGUGUGGCUUUUUGCAUGUACCUUAUGAAUAAGGACCGGCUAAUUCCGUGCCAGCAGCCGCGGUAAUACGGAAGGUCCGGGCGUUAUCCGGAUUUAUUGGGUUUAAAGGGAGCGUAGGCCGGAGAUUAAGCGUGUUGUGAAAUGUAGAUGCUCAACAUCUGCACUGCAGCGCGAACUGGUUUCCUUGAGUACGCACAAAGUGGGCGGAAUUCGUGGUGUAGCGGUGAAAUGCUUAGAUAUCACGAAGAACUCCGAUUGCGAAGGCAGCUCACUGGAGCGCAACUGACGCUGAAGCUCGAAAGUGCGGGUAUCGAACAGGAUUAGAUACCCUGGUAGUCCGCACGGUAAACGAUGGAUGCCCGCUGUUGGUCUGAAUAGGUCAGCGGCCAAGCGAAAGCAUUAAGCAUCCCACCUGGGGAGUACGCCGGCAACGGUGAAACUCAAAGGAAUUGACGGGGGCCCGCACAAGCGGAGGAACAUGUGG
rnacentral:rRNA from 1 species